AGAGUUUGAUCCUGGCUCAGGAUGAACGCUGGCGGCGUGCUUAACACAUGCAAGUCGAACGAAGCACUUUAUCACGAUUUCUUCGGAAUGACGAUUUGGUGACUGAGUGGCGGACGGGUGAGUAACGCGUGGGUAACCUGCCUUAUACAGGGGGAUAACAGUUGGAAACGGCUGCUAAUACCGCAUAAGCGCACAGGGUCGCAUGACCUGGUGUGAAAAACUCCGGUGGUAUGAGAUGGACCCGCGUUGGAUUAGCUGGUUGGUGAGGUAACGGCCCACCAAGGCGACGAUCCAUAGCCGACCUGAGAGGGUGACCGGCCACAUUGGGACUGAGACACGGCCCAAACUCCUACGGGAGGCAGCAGUGGGGAAUAUUGCACAAUGGGCGAAAGCCUGAUGCAGCGACGCCGCGUGAGCGAAGAAGUAUUUCGGUAUGUAAAGCUCUAUCAGCAGGGAAGAUAAUGACGGUACCUGACUAAGAAGCACCGGCUAAAUACGUGCCAGCAGCCGCGGUAAUACGUAUGGUGCAAGCGUUAUCCGGAUUUACUGGGUGUAAAGGGAGCGCAGGCGGUACGGCAAGUCUGAUGUGAAAGCCCGGGGCUCAACCCCGGUACUGCAUUGGAAACUGUCGAACUAGAGUGUCGGAGGGGUAAGUGGAAUUCCUAGUGUAGCGGUGAAAUGCGUAGAUAUUGGGAGGAACACCAGUGGCGAAGGCGGCUUACUGGACGAUAACUGACGCUGAGGCUCGAAAGCGUGGGGAGCAAACAGGAUUAGAUGCCCUGGUAGUCCACGCCGUAAACGAUGAAUACUAGGUGUCGGGGAGCAAAGCUCUUCGGUGCCGUCGCAAACGCAGU
rnacentral:rRNA from 1 species